ACUCAAAUGAAUAGACGGGGACCCGCACAAGUGGUGGAGCAUGUGGUUUAAUUCGACGAUAAGCGAGGAACCUUACCAAGAUUUGACAUCUAGCGAAUUUUUUAGAAAUAGAAAAGUGCCUUCGGGAACGCUAAGACAGGUGAUGCAUGGUUGUCGUCAGCUCGUGCCGUGAGGUGUACCCUUAAGUGGGGUAACGAGCGCAACCCCUAUAUAAUGUUACAUAUCAUUAUAGACUGCCGGCGAUAAGCCGGAGGAAGGCGGGGAUGACGUCAAAUCAGCAUGUCCUUUAUAUCUUGGGCGACACACGUGCUACAAUGGGAAGGAACAGAGGGACGCCAAGCCGUAAGGCGGAGCAAAUCCCAUCAAAACUUCCCCCAGUUCGGAUCGAGGGCUGCAAUUCGCCCUCGUGAAGCCGGAAUCACUAGUAACCGCGUAUCAGCCAUGGCGCGGUGAAUACGUUCUCGGGUCUUGUACACACCGCCCGU
rnacentral:rRNA from 1 species